AGCGAACGCUGGCGGCAGGCCUAACACAUGCAAGUCGAACGCGUGUAGCAAUACACGAGUGGCAGACGGGUGAGUAACACGUGGGAACGUGCCCUUCGGUUCGGAAUAACUCAGGGAAACUUGAGCUAGUACCGGAUACGCCCUUACGGGGAAAGAUUUAUCGCCGAUGGAUCGGCCCGCGUCUGAUUAGCUAGUUGGUGAGGUAACGGCUCACCAAGGCGACGAUCAGUAGCUGGUCUGAGAGGAUGAUCAGCCACACUGGGACUGAGACACGGCCCAGACUCCUACGGGAGGCAGCAGUGGGGAAUAUUGGACAAUGGGCGAAAGCCUGAUCCAGCCAUGCCGCGUGAGUGAUGAAGGCCCUAGGGUUGUAAAGCUCUUUCGGCGGGGACGAUAAUGACGGUACCCGCAGAAGAAGCCCCGGCUAACUUCGUGCCAGCCGCCGCAGUAAAAC
rnacentral:rRNA from 1 species